UACAGAGGUCCCGAGCGUUGUUCGGAUUCACUGGGCGUAAAGGGUGCGUAGGUAGGCAUGUUAAGUUUGAUGUGAAAGCUCAGGGCUUAACCCUGAAAUGGCAUUGAAUACUAGCGUGCUGGAGGUUUGGAGGGGGGGACUGGAAUUCUCGGUGUAGCAGUGAAAUGCGUAGAUAUCGAGAGGAACACCAGUGGCGAAGGCGAGUCCCUGGACAACACCUGACACUGAGGCACGAAAGCCGGGGGAGCAAACAGG
rnacentral:rRNA from 1 species